rnacentral:lncRNA from 1 species
UUUAGGGUCAUGGAGCUGCAGACCUGGAGAGGAGCUGAUGUUAAAGAUUGAGGGUCAUGCAGCUGAAGACUCUGGGAGGAGCUGACGUUCUAAUUUGAGGUCCCUACAGGUGGACACCCAGAGAGGAGCUUAUGUUCUAGAUUGAGGGCCAUGCAGCUGGUGACCUGGCAGGGAGCUGAUGUUCCAGUUUGAGGUCCGUGCUCCUGGAGACCUGGCGGGGAGCUGAUGUUCCAGUUUGAGGGCUGUGCAUGUGGAGACCUGGGCAGGGAGCUGAUGUUCCAGUUUAAGGCCAUGCAGCUGUAUACCCGGGGGGAACUGAUGUUGCAGUUUGAAGCGGUGCAGCUGGAGACCCAGCGGGGAACUGAUGUUGCAAUUUGAGGGCCAUGCAGCUGGAGACCCUGUGGGGAGCUGAUGUUCCUGUUUGAGGGCCUGGGAGCUGAUGUUC